UUUGCUGGGUGGGUGCGUUUGCCCACCUUCUUCGCAUUGACAUUAUUUUGAUUUCAUACAAAACAAUUUUUAUUUUUGGUGCGGAAAUGAAUACAAAAAUAUUGAAAAACCAAAUUUCAGUGAUUAAUGUUUAAUAAAUUUAUUGUAAACCAAAAAAAAACAGAGUUUAGUGACUCCAGCUUUUACAAACGCUGGUGAAAAACAGGCAAAGCAAGUGUUGUGAAGUGCAGACAAAACGGUGGAAACCUAAAGUAAUUGUUGUCUGAAGGUCUGCGUCGGUUUGCAGUUUGUGUUCCAACUCUUACGUGGCGUUUGCAGCGGCUCAGCUGGUGUUGUUUGCUUAACCG